GUCUCCGUGGCGCAAUCGGUGGCGCGUCAGUCUCAUAUUUUCAUAUGACUGAAUCAUAAGAUUUGGAUAUCUGAAGGUCGUGAGUUCGAUCCUCACCGGGGACA